UAUGUUGGGUAUCAAAAAGGAUAUAAAAGAU
rnacentral:piRNA from 1 species